rnacentral:lncRNA from 1 species
AGCCACCCUCGCCCCCGCCAAAACAAACAGACAAAAAACUGUCAUUCUCAUAUGACCACGGACUCUGCGCCCCGGCCGCAGGCGGAGGACAGGGAGGAGCGCACACGAGAAAGCUCCCACGCGCCCGCGCCUCGCCUCCGACGGGAAGGCGCCUCUUCCGACCGUCCUGGAUGCAAAUUAAAUACUUCCCUCCGCAGAAGACUUAUCUCGGGGUAGGGCCGCAGCCGGAUUUCCAAAUCGCGGGUUUGAUUUUCGCUGCGUCCUCUCCGCGACGCGCGCAGGGAGCGCGCCCGGCCACCUGCAGCCUCUGGCUGCGGCCAUCUUUCCGCCUGGGGCCACCUGGCCUGCGCCCUUUGUGCCCGGCCCGCUCCGUGACUGUUCUUCUUGCCGCUACUUACAGAACUCAGCCGCCUUAGCGUCUUAGAGAAGAGGACGGCAUGCAUGCGGACCCCGUCCACCACACCUGGAGAGCAGGGAGCCCUUAGUCCCUGGACACUUACCAGGGCCGCCACCCCUGGUCCACGCACGUGAUGACAUCUCACCAGGGGCAGCACACCGCCCGAGUCCGCGACACUGAUAACACCUCCUGCGGGCAGGAGGGCGCCACAGCCACCCCUGGUCCCCUAGAUUGUGUGAGGCUAGCAUUUCUGCCCGCCUCUUGGCGUGGACAGCACGCUGGACCGAGAUGGAACCACAGCUUUCUCUUCCCAAUCCCUGGCCUCACCGUUUUGUUUCAUACCUCACCGUUUGUUUCAAACCUCGUGGUGUUGAAAUGAUUAAAUGAGAUUAAGGGGUGUGUGGUAGUGUUGGGCAAACCACAAGAAAACGGUCUGGGUGGGGUCUGGCCCUAAAAUCUUCCUCCCCCACCUCCCAGGCUUCCUUGCCUUGCUGCUUCCUCUCAGCCUUUAAACAGGUUGGCCUCUCCAAGUCCUAAAAACAAAAUUAUCAAGCCAACCUCCUCCUGAAGUGCUCCCUCCAACUAGCUUCCAAGUGUUUCAUGCGGACCUCAAACAAUGGUCUUCCCUGGCUGCCUCUGCUUCCUCAUUUCUCAACACUUGGCAUUCUGGCUUCUCCUCCCCAACUCUAACCCUUCACCUUGCUCAGGCAAGAGCAACUCAUGACUUUCAUUUUGCCAAACCUUGCAGGCAUUCCUCAGGCCUUAUCUCUCUGGUUCUUUCUGCUACAUUUGACACCUUGGGAUGACUCUCACCUUCUGGAAUCUCUCUACUACCUUGGUUUCAGAAGAGUGAACCCUCUGGAUUAUCACAUGAAGCUACUUCCUGUGAGCAGCCCAGGGAUGGCCAGUCACUUGUGACCUACUUUCAGAGCUGGCAGUUCUGACUUCUAGAACAAACUCGGAACAAGCCCAUCUACAGCUGGUUGACUGAGUUUCCUUUGGGCUCCUGGCACCAGAAAGAAUUGCUCACUGGAAGGAUCAUAGGUGGCACUCAUGUCUCACUGCCCCACUCAGGUAUGUAGAUUUUCAUUGCCCUAUAAACCACAGUCAACAUCUCAAGAUCUCCAGAAGGAUGUUUAUGAUCUUCUAUUUGCUAAAGACAGUUGCUUCCUUACGGUAAUUGCUUUAAAAGGUGGGGCACCGUGGCUCACAUGGGACCUCGUCUCUAAAAAAUAAAAAAAUUAGCCAUGUGUGGUGGCGUGCAUCUGUAGUCCCAUCCCAGCUACUCAGGCUGAGGCAGAAGGAUCGCUUGAGCCCAGGAGAUCAAGGCUACAGUGAGCUGUGAUGAUGUCACUGCAUUCCAGCCCGGGCGACAGAGCAAGACCCUGUCUCUAAAACAACAAAACAAAACAGAACCAUUAGCUCUUCUUUUUUGUUUUGUUUUGUUUUGUUUUGUUUUCCUCAGAGCAGAGAUGCCUCACUGUGAUAGGUAAAUUAAGGUGAUACUGAUUGCCAGCUCCAGUGUGGAAGUCCCGAGGUGAAGGAAUUUCUUUCAUAAACAUUUCAAAAGUGAGUCGAUCCAGAAUACACCUCCACCAUGAGAUUACCUGUAAUCUAAUUCAACCUAGAAGAUGGAGUCCAAACAGCUUGAGGUUCUGCAGAUUUCACAACAGCAGCCACAAAAUGAAAGUGAAGAAGGCUUUGGCCAGGCACGGUGGCUCACGCCUGUAAUCCCAGCACUUUGGGAGGCCGAGGCGGGUGGAUCAUCUGAAGUCGGGAGUGUGAGACUAGCCUGAUGCACGUGGAGAAACCCCAUCUCUACUAAAAAUACAAAAGUAGCCAGGUGUGGUGGCGCAUUCCUGUAAUCCCAGCUACUCAGGAGGCUGAACCAGGAGAAUCGCUUGAACCCAGGAGGCAGAGGUUGCAGUGAGCUGAGAUCGCGCCAUUGCAUUCCAGCCUGGGCAACA